rnacentral:rRNA from 1 species
UACGGAGGGUGCGAGCGUUGUCCGGAAUCACUGGGCGUAAAGGGCGCGUAGGCGGCUCGGUAAGCGUGUGGUGAAAGCCUGGGGCUCAACCCCGGGUCGGCCAUGCGAACUGUCGAGCUGGAGCACUGUAGAGGCAGGCGGAAUUCCGGGUGUAGCGGUGGAAUGCGUAGAGAUCCGGAAGAACACCGGUGGCGAAGGCGGCCUGCUGGGCAGUAGCUGACGCUGAGGAGCGAAAGCGUGGGGAGCGAACAGG